rnacentral:rRNA from 1 species
ACAUGCAAGUCGAGCGGUAACAUUUCAAAAGCUNGCUUUUGAAGAUGACGAGCGGCGGACGGGUGAGUAAUGCCUGGGAAUAUGCCUUGAUGUGGGGGAUAACCAUUGGAAACGAUGGCUAAUACCGCAUAAUGCCUACGGGCCAAAGAGGGGGAUCUUCGGACCUCUCGCGUCAAGAUUAGCCCAGGUGGGAUUAGCUAGUUGGUGAGGUAAUGGCUCACCAAGGCGACGAUCCCUAGCUGGUCUGAGAGGAUGAUCAGCCACACUGGAACUGAGACACGGUCCAGACUCCUACGGGAGGCAGCAGUGGGGAAUAUUGCACAAUGGGCGCAAGCCUGAUGCAGCCAUGCCGCGUGUGUGAAGAAGGCCUUCGGGUUGUAAAGCACUUUCAGUCGUGAGGAAGGUGGUAGCGUUAAUAGCACUAUGAUUUGACGUUAGCGACAGAAGAAGCACCGGCUAACUCCGUGCCAGCAGCCGCGGUAAUACGGAGGGGGCGAGCGUUAAUCGGAAUUACUGGGGCGUAAAGCGCAUGCAGGUGGGUUGUUAAGUCAGAUGUGAAAGCCCGGGGCUCAAACUCGGAAUUGCAUUUGAAACUGGCAGACUAAAGUACUGUAGAGG